AACUUAUCAAGAGCGGCGGAGGGAACUGCCCGAUGAAGCCCGACAACCUGCGGUUUUGCAAGGUGUCAAGUCAGCGAAAAUUCGUUUUCGGCAGAUGAGUG
rfam:Ruminococcus sp. CAG:382 genomic scaffold, scf251